CCUACGGGUGGCAGCAGUGAGGAAUAUUGGUCAAUGGACGAGAGCCUGAACCAGCCAAGUCGCGUGCAGGAUGACGGCUCUAUGGUUUGUAAACUUCUUUUAUAUGGGGGUAAAGUGAGGAACGUGUUCCUUUUUGUAUGUACCGUAUGAAUAAGCAUCGGCUAACUCCGUGCCAGCAGCCGCGGUAAUACGGAGGAUGCAAGCGUUAUCCGGAUUUAUUGGGUUUAAAGGGUGCGUAGGUGGUUAAUUAAGUCAGCGGUGAAAGUUUGUGGCUCAACCACGAAAUUGCCGUUGAUACUGGUUGACUAGAGAAUAGUUGAGGUAGGCGGAAUGUGUGGUGUAGCGGUGAAAUGCUUAGAGAUCAUGCAGAACACCGAUUGCGAAGGCAGCUUACUAAGCUAUAACUGACACUGAGGCACGAAAGCGUGGGGAGCAAACAGGAUUAGAUACCCGUGUAGUC
rnacentral:rRNA from 1 species